rnacentral:sRNA from 1 species
CUGCCUGCUGCGGGGAAAUGAAGUGGAUAUGUGAAUCGAUUCCACCCGCGGUCAGAAUCAUGUUCUCGCCGGCUAUGAUUUCCGUCGCCGCGCCGAUCGACAUCGUAACAUUCGGCUGGAUAUCGGGAUUGCCCGCUUUGCCGAUCUCGGCGAUCCUCCCGUUCUUCAGACCGACAUCAGCCUUGACGAUGCCCCAGUGGUCGAUGAUUACCGCGUUGGUGAUGACCGUAUCCAUCACUUGAUCGUGAUUGUGCUGUGAUUGCCCCAUGCCGUCG